rnacentral:sRNA from 1 species
UGGAUAGAUAGAUAUGUGUGUAUGUGUGUACGAUAUGCCAAUAAGAUGAUAUCACAUGGAUUUCGUGAAACAAUACAUGACGAAAUGUGCUCCUCCUUUCUUCGUCCCCCUCCACCCGUCCGGAUACUAUUAGAGAGACCACGCUUUUGAGACAAGGCAUUGAGAACGCCACCACGCCAACGCCUGAUUGUCGAAGUUCAGCCGACAAAGGGAGUACAAAGAGGGAAGAAGAAAAAUGUCACGACCUUAAUUAAGAAUGGUUAAGAAUGGCGAGAACUCCCACGGGUAAAAAAGGAAGAAUAAAAGAGAAAAAAAGUAAAAGAAGAAAAUGUUAUCCAAAAAGAAAAAAAUUGAAAAAAUGAGAUGAGAUGAAAAAGGAAAAGGAAAAAGAAAAGGACAAGAGAAGGGGACAGAGUAGAAAAGAGACGAAUAACAGCAACGGAAGCACACUCAUAAAUCAUAGUGAUACCUCGACCCUUCGCCUGGUCAAUCCCAAAAGCCGUGGUUGCAUACCCACGUACAACGAUCCCCGUCCAUGCCAACGUAAAGGAACGAGUUCGCAGUGUUCAUCAAGCGGUUUCCAUUCCUGCCCCAUCAUAGAUCUGACCAUGGGAAAUAUAAUUCCAUG